rfam:Schistosoma margrebowiei strain Zambia genome assembly, scaffold: SMRZ_contig0001364
AUCUGGCUAAUGAGUCUCGAAUAGGACGAAAUGCGCGUCCUUGAU